rnacentral:rRNA from 1 species
UGCCAGCCGCCGCGGUAAUACGUAGGGGGCGAGCGUUAUCCGGAAUCAUUGGGCGUAAAGGGUGUGUAGGCGGUUUGUGUAAGCGAGAGGUGAAAGGCUAUGGCUCAACCAUAGUAGCCUUUCGAACUGGCGAACUUGAGUGCAGGAGAGGAGAGCGGAAUUCCUAGUGUAGCGGUGAAAUGCGUAGAUAUUAGGAGGAACACCAGUGGCGAAGGCGGCUCUCUGGACUGUAACUGACGCUGAGGCACGAAAGCGUGGGUGCAAACAGGAUUAGAUA